AGGUCCAGACGGGAAGUGAAAGCUAAUGAAGGAGGUAACUCUACGCCCCUAGUGGGAACGGAAUGAGGUUGAGCGGGUGAUGGAAUGGAGUGGAGUUGAGCGGAUGUACCCUUGAGACGUAGAACAGUAAUGUAACCUUGAGUAUACAUCUUCAUAUGUAUAACUCACACGUAUUUCCGCUGCAAGAUACUCUGAUUAUGCUAAUGUUUUAUUUUAAGUAUGAUACUCUUUUGUUGGGUAAUCCACUUCGACGGGCCUUCCCGAACAAACGUCUUGUAUUUGCCCAAGUGAUCAGUUAUGAUCCUAGUGUUAUAUAAUAAAUGUCUCUUUUCGUAAAA